GGCUCAAGGAGCUCGACUUGAGUGCGAAUGCGAUUAUGAGGGUUGGAGCGAGGUGCUUGGCACAAGCGGUUGGGACAAAUAAGCCUGAUUUUGCGGUUCUGAAUAUUGAUGGCAAUUAUAUAUCAGAGGAGGGGAUUGAUGAGGUGAAGGAGAUACUCAAGGCUGGUGGGGUUGGGGACUCGCUAGGGCCGUUGGAUGACAAUCUUCCUGAUGGUGAAGAGGGCGAUGAGGCUGAGGAUAACGAGGAAGGUGGUGAAGAGGAUGAUGAUGAGUUGGGGUCGAAGCUUCAGCAUCUGACGGUCGACGACUAUGCAAAGGAGUAGGAGGUACGAUUUAGUAACUCUGUUUUUUCUAGUACAAUGUUGUCUUGGUUUAGUCAGUGUAGUAUGG
rnacentral:misc_RNA from 1 species